rnacentral:rRNA from 1 species
AGUGAACGCUGGCGGUAGGCCUAACACAUGCAAGUCGAACGGCAGCACAGUAAGAGCUUGCUCUUACGGGUGGCGAGUGGCGGACGGGUGAGGAAUACAUCGGAAUCUACUUUUUCGUGGGGGAUAACGUAGGGAAACUUACGCUAAUACCGCAUACGACCUACGGGUUAAAGCAGGGGAUCUUCGGACCUUUCGCGAUUGAAUGAGCCGAUGUCGGAUUAGCUAGUUGGCGGGGUAAAGGCCCACCAAGGCGACGAUCCGUAGCUGGUCUGAGAGGAUGAUCAGCCACACUGGAACUGAGACACGGUCCAGACUCCUACGGGAGGCAGCAGUGGGGAAUAUUGGACAAUGGGCGCAAGCCUGAUCCAGCCAUACCGCGUGGGUGAAGAAGGCCUUCGGGUUGUAAAGCCCUUUUGUUGGGAAAGAAAAGCAGCAGGUGAAUACCCCGCUGUUCUGACGGUACCCAAAGAAUAAGCACCGGCUAACUUCGUG